rfam:Cyclospora cayetanensis strain CHN_HEN01 contig_894, whole genome shotgun sequence.
ACGGAAGUGGCGAAAGGGUAUACGCGUUAGAUUUAGGAUCUAAUAGAAAUUUCUAUGAGAGUUCAAAUCUCUCCUUCCGUA